GCAGCAGUAGGGAUCUUCCACAAUGGACGCAAGUCUGAUGGAGCAACGCCGCGUGUAUGAAGAAGGUCUUCGGAUCGUAAAAUACUGUUGUCAGAGAAGAACACGUGAUAAAGUAACUGUUAUCGCGCUGACGGUAUCUGACCAGCAAGUCACGGCUAACUACGUGCCAGCAGCCGCGGUAAUACGUAGGUGGCAAGCGUUGUCCGGAUUUAUUGGGCGUAAAGGGAACGCAGGCGGUCUUUUAAGUCUGAUGUGAAAGCCUUCGGCUUAACCGGAGAAGUGCAUUGGAAACUGGAAGACUUGAGUGCAGAAGAGGAGAGUGGAACUCCAUGUGUAGCGGUGAAAUGCGUAGAUAUAUGGAAGAACACCAGUGGCGAAAGCGGCUCUCUGGUCUGUAACUGACGCUGAGGUUCGAAAGCGUGGGGAGCGAACAGGAUUAGAUACCCUGGUAGUCCACGCUGUAAACGAUGAAUGCUAGGUGUUGGAGGGUUUCCGCCCUUCGGUGCCGCAGCUAACGCACUAAGCAUUCCGCCUGGGGAGUACGAUCGCAAGAUUGAAACUCAAAGGAAUUGACGGGGCCCGC
rnacentral:rRNA from 1 species